rnacentral:pre_miRNA from 1 species
UGGACAUAUUAUUGUAUUCGACUAUAUUCACGGCGUGUAAUAGGGGAUUACAUUGUUUUUAAAACGGAAAGUGAAUCAAUUAACAUAAUAGACUCCU